UCAGCCUCCACCCUUCCAUCGGUCUCCUUCUCCUCUCCGAUCCUGAAGAAAGGUAUCGCUGAGGAGCAAAGCACAAGUUGGAAGAUUGAAAAUGAGGUGCAGACAAGUUGUGGCAUUGGAUGGUCUACUCUGGGAAUGCCUUAAUCUGAAACUGUUGCCGUGAAGCCAAUGGAAAUUAGUCAUGUGACUUUAAACUUUGACAAAGAACUCAAGUUUCUGACCUCAUGCUGUGAUGGGAUCCUGGAGUCUCAAGUCAAGUUUUGCUGUUAAUUUAAGACCCAGUAGAUGCAGAAAAAGGAUUUCGUGUUGCAAGAAGGCUGACUGAAGCGCAGUGGAUCCUGGCAUAAAGGAUUGGAACUAAUGUAGAGCUGUCCCAGUCAGGUGGCCAGUAAAUUUACAACUGCCAGUGUAGCUAAGAAUGAGAAAUGAUGACCCUAUCAAGAGAUGCAGUGGGGGACAUCCAUGAUAUCAGACUACAUUUUAUCCUGGGUGGUUACUGAUUUCCACUAUCAAUAAAAUUUGUGCACUUAUCUUUGUCUUGACUUGAAUGUGUAACUUAAGACCUUCUUAUUAGAUUACUUAGUGAAUUUAAUAAAAUUCAAAUAAUUAAGUUUGAUUCCAGAUAUAACUGCAUAUUUGUAGAGAGACACCAAACAAUUUGAUGUAGCUAAACAACUUUUUUUUUAAAUGAACGCCACAAAGAUGGGAAAGCACUUUGUACUUAAAGAGAAAGAUUAAGUAAAAAUGAAUGUGAAAGUUGUGCCAAUGCGCAAAAGUCUUCCAAUAAUGGUUUUUGGCAACUCGGAAGUAACUUGCCUAGCCACUGCUGAAGUUGACGUUAAAUGAUUUGCUAGCAUACAGUGGGCGUAAAUUGAAGACAUGCAAUUGACUAAAACAGGAGCACCCGCGCUACCGAUGGAUGAACGAAUGUCAAUAGUCCGUUGCCUUUGACGUGUUACCAAGUUGCGUAAAUACGAAUCUGGUAUCAGGAUGAAUAUAACAGUCACCGAUUUUAUACUAUGUAAAAGUAAUGACUGGCAAAUGCUACUUUCGUAUAUACUGGCUCAAUAAUACCAUGCAGGGCAGAAUAGGGAACUGACAGGAUGUAUGUAAAAAAGAGUUCUUAUACUGUGGCCGUAGUUCCAACCCGUCUGGACUAUAAGGCUGGGCGUGGUUUAAACUUGCUCAGCAUAUCGCAGGCGGGUCCCCGCUUCUUGGGGUUCUCCCUCCGUCGAUGUAUAGAUUCUUACUGUUCUGGUAUCGCAGCCUAGUUAUACAGUUGCUCAAUUCCUGCUAUUGUGUUCAGUAUUUUUCAAUCUCAGUUAAACCUCGAUGACCACCCCUCUCUAUGCCUGCUUAACCACUUUGUAAGAUACAGCAACUCACAUUGCUCAAUAUUGUUAUGUACAAACGCAAUUACAAAGCAUCUGCUGGUAUCUAGUUUUACAACAUGCGAGUCACACCAUGUUACUCGGUUCUUGUCACACAAACGGGCAAGUAGAUGUAGCAAGCAGUUUAAUCUCAUGAUGCUCAAGUGCACAAAUGCAGAUACUUCACAAAGCCAACAUCGGGUAAUAUCUAAUAUGCUAAUGGCUAUAAUGUAAAAUACAGAAUCCCACAAGGGAUGGGGUGUUUAACUUGCAGCCCUAGUAAAAAAUACAACAGGGGUAACCAUAUCUAACCCAUUACUCUUAAUACACUUCGCGUGGGCGUGAGUCGCUAGCUCAUUCGCUAGCAGAUUUUCCCGCAAAAUGGCGAUUAGUUUGCAAUGUGUUUGGGCUCCCUAGUGGCUGUUUAAGGCACUGUAACUGCAUCGAUGCUAGCUAGAGGCGUCACUACACACCCAUGAUCGGUUCCAGGCUGUAUCUCAACUGGACGUGAUUGGGAGUCCAUAGAGCGGCGCACAAUUGGCACAGCGUCGUUCGUUAGGGUUUGACCGGAGGUCACUGGAGCAGUGGGAAGAUGCAACUGGCGAUGUUCGGUGGAUGAUCCACUGAGUUGGCCCGCAUCACUAGGACUAAAGCUGGAAGCAAGAGGGGUAGGAGAAGUGGUGUCUUUGCUGUGGAUUAGUAGGUCAUCAUCUGGAUCGGUCUGGCAGUUUGUGUUACUUGCACAAGUGAAUGCAGGAGAUGAAGAAGAAGGCCCAAGAAAACAUGACAGAGAACAUUGGAGAAUGAGCGCCAACAACAACUAGCAUAAUGGGAAAUCCAGCUUGAAGCUGUUCUCUUGUCUGAGAGCCCUCCAUGGAUUUCUAUCCCAGCAAGAUCUAAAGGAAAAAGCAUGUGCUGGUCUGAUAGUGAUUUCUAUGUGCAAGGUUUUAAACGGUGUAAUACUCCCUGUACUGAUUGCAUUUACAUUUGAUUAAACAUACCUUGACUUCAGAAUGUCAAACAG